rnacentral:rRNA from 1 species
UACGUAGGUGGCGAGCGUUGUCCGGAUUUAUUGGGCGUAAAGAGCGUGUAGGCGGUUUGGUAGGUCCGCUGUGAAAACUCGAGGCUCAACCUCGAGACGCCGGUGGAAACCAUCAGGCUAGAGUCCGGAAGAGGAGAGUGGAAUUCCUGGUGUAGCGGUGAAAUGCGCAGAUAUCAGGAAGAACACCCGUGGCUAAGGCGGCUCUCUAGUACGGUACUGACGCUGAGACGCGAAAGCGUGGGGAGCGAACAGG